UCUAGAACUCGAGAUAUGGGCUGAACAUUAAACAGUGUCUGGGCUGCAGGACAGAUUCUGACUUCUUUGUUGUUGCUAAGAUUUGGACUUCUAAACAGCAGAUUUGAGUCUUUAACUCCUCAUGAAUGUUUUAGGCUUAUGUCUUAAAUUUCUUGC
rfam:Populus trichocarpa scaffold_140_contig_6, whole genome shotgun sequence.